UACGGGGGGAGCAAGCGUUGUUCGGAUUUACUGGGCGUAAAGGGCGCGUAGGCGGCGCAACAAGUCACUUGUGAAAUCUCCGGGCUUAACCCGGAGCGGCCAAGUGAUACUGUCGUGCUAGAGUGCGGAAGGGGCUACUGGAAUUCUCGGUGUAGCGGUGAGAUGCGUAGAUAUCGAGAGGAACACCUGCGGCGAAGGCGGGUAGCUGGGCCGACACUGACGCUGAGGCGCGAAAGCCAGGGGAGCGAACGGG
rnacentral:rRNA from 1 species